rnacentral:rRNA from 1 species
AGGAAUAUUGGUCAAUGGGCGAGAGCCUGAACCAGCCAAGUAGCGUGAAGGAUGACUGCCCUAUGGGUUGUAAACUUCUUUUAUAAAGGAAUAAAGUCGGGUAUGCAUACCCGUUUGCAUGUACUUUAUGAAUAAGGAUCGGCUAACUCCAUGCCAGCAGCCGCGGUAAUACGGAGGAUCCGAGCGUUAUCCGGAUUUAUUGGGUUUAAAGGGUGCGUAGGCGGCCUUUUAAGUCAACGGUGAAAGUCUGUGGCUCAACCAUAGAAUUGCCGUUGAAACUGGGGGGCUUGAGUAUGUUUGAGGCAGGCGGAAUGCGUGGUGUAGCGGUGAAAUGCAUAGAUAUCACGCAGAACCCCGAUUGCGAAGGCAGCCUGCCAAGCCAUUACUGACGCUGAUGCACGAAAGCGUGGGGAUCAAACAGGAUUAGAUACCCUGGUAGUCCACGCAGUAAACGAUGAUCACUAGCUGUUUGCGAUACACUGUAAGCGGCACAGCGAAAGCGUUAAGUGAUCCACCUGGGGAGUACGCCGGCAACGGUGAAACUCAAAGGAAUUGACGGGGGCCCGCACAAGCGGAGGAACAUGUGGUUUAAUUCGAUGAUACGCGAGGAACCUUACCCGGGUUUGAACGCAUUCGGACCGAGGUGGAAACACCUUUUCUAGCAAUAGCCGUUUGCGAGGUGCUGCAUGGUUGUCGUCAGCUCGUGCCGUGAGGUGUCGGCUUAAGUGCCAUAACGAGCGCAACCCUUGCCACUAGUUACUAACAGGUAAAGCUGAGGACUCUGGUGGGACUGCCAGCGUAAGCUGCGAGGAAGGCGGGGAUGACGUCAAAUCAGCACGGCCCUUACAUCCGGGGCGACACACGUGUUACAAUGGCGUGGACAAAGGGAGGCCGCCUGGCGACAGGGAGCGAAUCCCCAAACCACGUCUCAGUUCGGAUCGGAGUCUGCAACCCGACUCCGUGAAGCUGGAUUCGCUAGUAAUCGCGCAUCAGCCAUGGCGCGGUGAAUACGUUCCCG